AGCCUUGGGCCAGAGUUCCAGGGGCUCUGGGAGUGGCUGCCAGGGCUUGUUUACUAAGUAAACAAGAAGAGGGCCUGGGAGGAGAGUCUGAUGAGCAAGGGGAAGGUAGCCAAGGAUGGAGUGAAAUACAAGAGCAUAAACUCAGAGGACGCAGCUACUUCUCUCCAUGAAUAGGCUGUCUCCCAGGCACAGAAUUCCAGGAACCAGCAGGGCCUUUCAAGGUUGGUUUCAAGGGAAGAGUGUGUCCCUUGCAGGGUGGCUGGAGCCAGCUCCAAGAGCCUGAAAAAUCAUCUUGGCACCAAGUCUGAUGCAACUCUGGACCCAACAGGAAUCUUGGAGGAUUUGCCACAACCUUAGUCAUUCACCUUCAAAUCAUCCACACUGAUUCAGCCUCUCCUUCACUGAACAAGUAUUUAUUGAGCACCUACUAUGUGUAACCUUCUAGGCAAUAUAACUUUUUGGAUACAGCAGAUUAAACAAAGAUCACUGCAAUCACUAAAUGAAUAUCUUGAGAGGUGGAUUGUAAAAGAGACUUCUGUACUAUUUUAUGUGUACAUAGAAUCAAGUGGGUAUAGAACUUUGGUGUUGGAUGGACCUGAGUUUAAACACACUCUGUUCUGUGAUCUUGGUUAUUUGAAUUUCUCUGAGCCUCAGUUUCCUCAAUCCUUAGGUGGAAAUAAAAAUUCCUACCUUAUCCAGAAUCAGUUAAAUAUAGAGUUAGCCAUAUGACCAGCAAGUUCAUGCCUAAAUUACAUAACUGAGGGAAAUAAAAACAUAUUUUUUAUCUUUCACACAAAAACUAGUAUCUGAAUGUUCACAGCUGCAGUAUCCAUAAUAGCCAAAAAGUAGAAACAACUAAAAUGUCUGUCAACCAAACAGUAAGUAAACAAAAUGUUUUAUAUCAUACAAUGGAAUAUUACUCAGCAA
rnacentral:lncRNA from 1 species